GGGGCUGUAGCUCAGCUGGGAGAGCACCUGGUUUGCAACCAGGGGGUCGUCGGUUCGAUCCCGUCCAGCUCCACCA
rnacentral:tRNA from 2 species